ACGGCUCAGUAACACGUGGGUAACCUGCCCUAUGCUGGGGGAUAACCUCGGGAAACUGAGAAUAAUACCCCAUAGUUCACCACGCCUGGAACGGUGGGUGGAUGAAAGCUUCCGGCGGCAUAGGAUGGGCCUGCGGCGUAUCAGGUUGUAGGGGGUGUAAUGUACCCUCUAGCCAUCUACGCGUACGGGUGUUGGGAGACAUCGCCCGGAGAUGGAUUCUGAGACACGAAUCCAGACCCUACGGGGUGCAGCAGGCGCGAAAACUUGGCAAUGCGAGAAAUCGUGACCAGGGAACUCCAAGUGCAUCGGGUAAGACCGAUGCUUUUCUUGACUCUUCAAAGGUCUUGGAAUAAGGGGUGGGUAAGGACGGUGCCAGCCGCCGCGGUAAUACCGGCGCCUCAAGUGGUAGUCGCUUUUAUUGGGCCUAAAACGUCCGUAGCCGGUUUGGUACAUUCGUGGGUAAAUCAAGGCGCUCAACGUCUUGAAUUCUGCGAGCACGGCCAGACUUGGGACCGGGUGAGGUGUGGGGUACUCUCAGGGUAGGGGUAAAAUCCUGUCAUCCUGAGAGGACCACCUGUUGCGAAGGCGCCACACUAGAACGGAUCCGACGGUCAGGGACGAAGCCUAGGGGCACGAACCGGAUUAGAUACCCGGGUAGUCCUAGGUGUAAACGCUGUGGACUUGAUGUUGGGAGUGCUCCGAGCACCCUCAGUGUCGAAGCGAAGGUGAUAAGUCCACUGCCUGGGGAGUACGGUCGCAAGGCUGAAACUUAAAGGAAUUGGCGGGGGAGCAC
rnacentral:rRNA from 1 species